UCCCCUGUGGUGUAAUCGGCAACACGUGGCACUUUGGAUGCUUUGUUCCAGGUUCGAGUCCUGGCAGGGGAGC
rnacentral:tRNA from 1 species